rnacentral:rRNA from 1 species
AGAGUUUGAUCCUGGCUCAGAGUGAACGCUGGCGGCAGGCCUAAUACAUGCAAGUCGAACGGCAGCACAGCAGAGCUUGCUCUGUGGGUGGCGAGUGGCGGACGGGUGAGGAAUACAUGGGAAUCUGCCCAGUCGUGGGGGAUAACGUAGGGAAACUUACGCUAAUACCGCAUGCGCCCUUCGGGGGAAAGCCGGGGACCUUCGGGCCUGGCGCGAUUGGAUGAGCCCAUGUCGGAUUAGCUAGUUGGCGGGGUAACGGCCCACCAAGGCGACGAUCCGUAGCUGGUCUGAGAGGAUGAUCAGCCACACUGGAACUGAGACACGGUCCAGACUCCUACGGGAGGCAGCAGUAGGGAAUAUUGGACAAUGGGCGCAAGCCUGAUCCAGCCAUGCCGCGUGAGUGAAGAAGGCCUUCGGGUUGUAAAGCUCUUUUGUCCGGAAAGAAAAGCUUCGGGUUAAUACCCUGGAGUCCUGACGGUACCGGAAGAAUAAGCACCGGCUAACUUCGUGCCAGCAGCCGCGGUAAUACGAAGGGUGCAAGCGUUACUCGGAAUUACUGGGCGUAAAGCGUGCGUAGGUGGUUUGUUAAGUCUGAUGUGAAAGCCCUGGGCUCAACCUGGGAAUGGCAUUGGAUACUGGCAGGCUAGAGUGCGGUAGAGGGUAGUGGAAUUCCCGGUGUAGCAGUGAAAUGCGUAGAGAUCGGGAGGAACAUCUGUGGCGAAAGGCGACUACCUGGACCAGCACUGACACUGAGGCACGAAAGCGUGGGGGAGCAAACAGGAUUAGAUACCCUGGUAGUC